UAAUUCACAUCCAAAUUAUAUAGCUAAAAGCAGGUAAGAUCUUCAAGAGGAAUUGUAUCUUCAGAAAAAGUGGGGAGCUUAGAAAAAGGAAAGGAGGGUCACUCCAGAGAAGAGAAUAAAGCUGGCAAGACACAAAUAUAGUAGGCUUCCUUUAGGGUAUGAAGUACACUUUGCAUUGGACUAGGGGUGGACAAAGGGAACCCAACCAAAGUCAAAUACCAAGCAAAAGAAAGGAACCUUUGAAGGCUGGCAACACAAAAGCAUCACAAUGAACGGCCACAACAAUGUCAGCAUCACAAUAAGUUAAUGCGAUGGAAGGUGACAAGCGCUGGUAGAUGCGAUAACUCACAAUAAGUUCUGCAAUGGAAUGUGCAAUGGCUUCUAAAGAAAGAAGCCAUCAGAUAAUGAGACUGAUGUAACUUCUCAAAAAGAAAAUAUACUUCUUUUUAUUCA